ensembl:lncRNA
UGUUGCCGCCCUAUCAGAGUUGCCUACUGGAAACAGCUAGUAGCAGUGGGGAAGUACUCACCCCUCGUACUCACUCUGAGGGUAUCUGGGGCAUCGAUGCAUCCCUACAAGCAACUGCCCAACAAACAGGAAAACAAAAUAGUGAGGCUCCUUGACGACAUGAUUUAUUUACAAACAUGUCUCCACAAGACAGCUUUUCAAAUGGUCCCUUUAUUCAUAUUCAAGCAUAGAAAACGAUCAGCUUGUGUGGAUGAUGAUGAUGCACAGACUGUAGGCCCAGGGCCAGGUGCAGUGCAGAAUAUCAUACAACACCUCUGCAGUUUUUUUUCCGGUGGUUUGAAUGCAACUCUCUCAGUAUUACACGAUUAUAAUGCUAUAGUUAUUAUUGAUAAUGUAUGACUCAAACUUACAUUGAGACUGGAAGCACAAUCAUCAUUAUUUGUACGAGCUUAUUUAACCUACUCUUUCGGAAUUGUUGGGAUGCACCAUUUCUGGGUGCGUGUGUGUGUGUGUGUGUGUGUGCGUGCGUGUGUGCGUGCGUGCGUGCGUGCGUGUGUGUGUGUGUGUUUUUGUGUUUGUGGGAUCAGGAUUUGAAUAUGCUCCCUUUCUGCUGUCAAGGAACAAGCCAGGUUAACUAAAUCAGAGACAAUUGAUGUAAAUGACAAUCACAGAAUUUCAUUUUUAUACACUUCUACACACUUCUACACACUUCUACACACUUCUACACGCAGUGGCACUUUUUAGGCAUCCAGCCAGUCUGGAAAAGCAUUAUUUCCAGAAACACUCUGACAUGUCACUGAAGACUAUUCUGUCAAUGGAAAUGUGUAAACCUUUAACCAAUCCACUUAUUGAGUGUGCCCCCAUGUAUUCAAGCUGAAAAAAUAUAGGCUUUAACUUUGUAAACUGUUGACUGAGCCAACAGAUACAUGUAGGACCUAUGUCUCUUUAAAGCUGAACACUUUUAAAGUGUAUAGCGUCCCAAAACAGAGGUUUUGUCCCAAAAUGGCACUCUGGAUUCAGCAGCCUUGGUUGGCCACACUAAAGUUUUAGAAACGUUUUGACAGAAAGGUGGAAAACAAAUGGGAUUUGACUAGAGGAAAGGAAAGGAAUGUCAAGACAAAGGAAUAAGCGUCUUUAGCGUCACACUUCAGAUGACCGGUGCUGCUCUUUGUGAAAAAAAAUUGAAAAGAAGAAAAAAAAAAAAAACCUAAACAUAAUAGCAACGACAGCAAAAAAAAAAAAAAAAAACACUAAAAGAUUCACAGUAUGUGCCGUUUGACCCUUUAUUAUGUGCAAUGUCAGUUUCAAAAUGAAUGUUUAAUUUCUACUUUUUUGAAGUAAUGUCUUAUAGGUUUCUGUGUAUUGACAUACUAAGAGCGAGAUCCGUGGUAGUAUACAACCGAUGUACUGUGUAAAUUAAAUGGAAAGUAUUUUUGUAUGGAAAAAAAAGGUAUCCUUUACAUUCCUUUGACAAUGGGUGGGACAGUGUAGUGUAAACGUUACGCAAACCACAUGACGGCUGGCUGAGCAUGGGCAGUUCAGUUCCAGCCACAUCUCUCAUGGCUUCCCCCCUCUCUUCUGAACACCUGCAGACAUGUCCCCAGAACAUGCCUCUAAAAACAACGCUAUGGUUUCUCCUUGAAGCCUUUUGGGGGUGUGCUGUUUUCAAAAGCAUUCCACAUGGACAUAGUUGAUAGGUCAUGUGUUGAGAGACUUCACUUUGGACAUAGUUGAUAGGUCAUGUGUUGAGAGACUUCACUUUGCAAGUCGAUAGCCAGCGGUAUUGCAAAAUAUCUGUUGGUCAUAUGGUUUAUUCGGGUCAGACAAAUUCCUGUAGCCAAUACAAUGCAAUCUAGUGACCAAAUGAACAAAAACACGAUAUAUUUUCCAACGUCAGAUGCUUCAACACUUGAUCAUUAACAAAUUCAUCUCAGUCAUCAAUAUUACUCGUCGUCAAAAACGCAAUUUCAGACUAGCUGACACAUCACAACAAUGCAGAUGAAAAACUGCACUGCUCUGUGCAUGUUCUUGGGGCAGAUAUGUGUCUGAAUCUUAAGGUCAAUUUAAAAGCUUAAAUUGGACAAUUUGGGCAAGAAAGCACUCCCAAAACAAUAUCUGAUCAGGUGAUGACAGAUCAACCAAACUUGAAUAGGACUUGGAGAAAUAAAGAACAAAAUUCUUGGUGACAUUCUUCAUCAAUCUUUGUGCUUUCGAGAGGGCUGAUGUUUGCAUGUUUGUCACCCAACUGUAUUCUCUGAAUCGCCGCGGAGUAGGUCCCCUUCUUACUCUUGCCGCACAAACCUUUCACGGCUCUUCACUUUGGCCUUGUGUCUCUGAUCAGCAGCACUGUGGAUUCAGUUCACUUUUGUAAAAUUGUAUUUUUGCUGUGAGCUAAAACUCUUCGUUUGACACUGGCACCUCCGUGAUCUGCAAAACAUCUCAGGUCUGCCUAUAGCACCUAGUCAGUUUGUGUUCUCUAUACAUCUACAUGCAGACAUAUUUUGAAUUCACUGACCAUAACUGUUUCUUGGUUAAAGAAACACAAGUGAAUGAAAAUACAGUGAGUGUUCGGUUCCCUUUUACAAACCUUCAACGACUGAGAGUGUUUAAAUUGUGUCAAUGACAGAAACCUUUCAUUUGGAUAUCUGUUUCUGUGUUGUAUCACUGAAUUUCAGUUCUCCAGAGUUGCCCUCAUUUCCCCUACUUCAUCAACUGAUUUCAGUCUUCUGUAUAAAGGAACGUUUUUUUGUGGUGUGCAUUUGGUUUUGUGUAAAAAAAAAAAAAAAGCUCCCUGUCUAUCUAUGCUACUUGUGUUUGUCAGUUGUGAUGGCUUUAGCAUUAUAAAUGCAAUGGUACUGAUUCCUCUCUCUCUCUCUCUCUCUCUCUCUCUCUCUCUCUCUCUCUCUCUCUCUUUCUCUUUAUACCUCUCUUAAAACACCUCUUUGUGAAAUGGUUGUGUGGAGCUGCACUCUUUUGUUCUUUUGUCUUUAUUUUUCACACUCUGUAUUUGCCCCUGAAUCUCCUCUACUGUUGCUUUUGUCUGUUUUCUGGUUUCUAUUUUGAAGGCCUUCGGGCUCCGUGUUCUCCACUCUGCCUCUGCGAUUAGAAGGGGUGAUGUGACCCAGUGUGUUUUCAGACGGGGAUUUUAAUCAAUGCAUCCAGCAGUACCAGGGUAGAGGAAGACUAGGAAAAACAAGACCUACCCGAAUGGCCAUUUCUGUUCAUUUGAAACAGAAGAAAAAAAACAUUGAAGAUAUUGUAAUAUAGAAUGUACAAAAAUGUUUAGAAUAUAUAGUUGUUUAUUUUAUAAGAUGUCAAAUAGAUUGAAAUACAUUUAUAUACAUUAUAUGAUUCAAAGGUUUUAAAAAAAAAAACAGAAGUAUUUUGUAACAGAAUAAUUAUUGAAGUGUCUUACUGGGGGAGGUGAAGUCUUUCUUUUCUUUAAUACAGCAGUGGGUGUUGCACAGUCAAUGAUAUUGUAUGGCUUUUCCUCUGUGUAUAUACCAUCAAAAUAAGCUUUAACAUAUUGUUAAUAUUGUUUUAAAAAGAAAUUAAUAAAAAGUUUACAUUCUGAAACACCAUGGAUAUUAAUUCUGUGAUAGUGAUAUUAAAUUAUUUUUAUUCAAUCUUGAUAAUGUGGUAUAUAAAAAUAAAUAUUUUUUAAAA